UCGGAUUGACGAUCAGUCGCCCCGUCCUUUCUCAGAAAGAGCGGGGAGGAAAGUCCGGGCAGCAUAGGGCACGGCAGUUGCUAACGGCAACCAAGGGUAACCUUAGGGAAAGUGCCACAGAAACAACACAACCGAUCCCCUAAAGGAAUCGGAAAUGGUGAAAAGAGUAAGGUAAGAGCUUACAGCUCCGACGGGUGACUGUCGGAGGCGGUAAACCCUGCCAGCUGCAAGGAGACGACCUAAAGAGUAGCCCGCUACGGUCGUCGGUUGAACCCGCUCGAUCCCGAUGGCAACGUCGGGACUAGAUAGAUGACUGAUGGGGGCCUGCUUGUACCUUUUAAUUUAUAGGGAAAAUGGCUGCAGUCGGCAGUCGCAGAUUUUGGCUUCUUGUGAGGAGGUGUAUCCGUAGGAUACAUUGACGAACAAAAGGCAAAAGAAGUGUGCCGAACCUGCCGUUUUAGCCGAAUUGAAAGGUAAGAGCAGGUCCUAUAACAGAACCCGGCUUACGGUCUCUCCGACGCC
rnacentral:RNase_P_RNA from 1 species